UACAGAGGGGGCAAGCGUUGUUCGGAAUUACUGGGCGUAAAGGGCGCGUAGGCGGCCUUCUAAGUCGAACGUGAAAUCCCCGGGCUCAACCCGGGAACUGCGUCCGAUACUGGAAGGCUUGAAUCCGGGAGAGGGAUGCGGAAUUCCAGGUGUAGCGGUGGAAUGCGCAGAUAUCAGGAGGAACACCGGUGGCGAAGGCGGGAUCCUGGGCCAGUACUGACGCUGAGGAGCGAAAGCGUGGGGAGCAAACAGG
rnacentral:rRNA from 1 species